UCGGAUGAGUGAUGAUAGUCUGCGAUA
rnacentral:miRNA from 1 species